UACGGAGGGUGCAAGCGUUGUCCGGAUUUAUUGGGCGUAAAGAGCUCGUAGGCGGUUUGUCGCGUCGGGAGUGAAAACUCAGGGCUUAACCCUGAGCCUGCUUCCGAUACGGGCAGACUAGAGGUAUGCAGGGGAGAACGGAAUUCCUGGUGUAGCGGUGAAAUGCGCAGAUAUCAGGAGGAACACCGGUGGCGAAGGCGGAUCUCUGGGCCUUACCUGACGCUGAGGAGCGAAAGCAUGGGGAGCAAACAGG
rnacentral:rRNA from 1 species